UACAGAGGGGGCAAGCGUUGUUCGGAAUUACUGGGCGUAAAGGGCUCGUAGGCGGCCAACUAAGUCGGACGUGAAAUCCCUCGGCUUAACCGGGGAACUGCGUCCGAUACUGGAUGGCUUGAGUUCGGGAGAGGGAUGCGGAAUUCCAGGUGUAGCGGUGAAAUGCGUAGAUAUCUGGAGGAACACCGGUGGCGAAGACGGCAUCCUGGACCGACACUGACGCUGAGGAGCGAAAGCCAGGGGAGCAAACGGG
rnacentral:rRNA from 1 species